rnacentral:rRNA from 1 species
GACGAACGCUGGUGGCGUGCUUAACACAUGCAAGUCGAACGGGAUUUAGUAAACAGCAGCCUCGGUGGAAGAUUACUAAUGAGAGUGGCGAACGGGUGAGUAACGCGUGAGCAACCUGCCUAUGACAGUGGGAUAGCCUCGGGAAACCGGGAUUAAUACCGCAUAAAAUCGUAGAAACACAUGUUUUAACGGUCAAAGAUUUAUCGGUCAUAGAUGGGCUCGCGUCUGAUUAGCUAGUUGGUGAGAUAACAGCCCACCAAGGCGACGAUCAGUAGCCGGUCUGAGAGGAUGAACGGCCACAUUGGAACUGAGACACGGUCCAAACUCCUACGGGAGGCAGCAGUGGGGAAUAUUGCACAAUGGGGGAAACCCUGAUGCAGCGACGCCGCGUGAACGAAGAAGGUAUUCGUAUCGUAAAGUUCUGUCCUAUGGGAAGAUAAUGACAGUACCAGAGAAGAAAGCUCCGGCUAAAUACGUG